AUGGAUAUAUAGUUGGUACAAUCUGUUUAAUCUCUGACUCUAUUUGCCGCACAUGUUGCGCAGCUUCUGCUGGAAGAAACCAAACUUAUUCGA